CAGCCGCCGCGGGAAUACAGAGGGUGCAAGCGUUAAUCGGAAUUACUGGGCGUAAAGCGCGCGUAGGUGGUUUGUUAAGUUGGAUGUGAAAUCCCAGGGCUCAACCUGGGAACUGCAUCCAAAACUGGCAAGCUAGAGUAUGGUAGAGGGUGGUGGAAUUUCCUGUGUAGCGGUGAAAUGCGUAGAUAUAGGAAGGAACACCAGUGGCGAAGGCGACCACCUGGACUGAUACUGACACUGAGGUGCGAAAGCGUGGGGAGCAAACAGGAUUAGAUACCCCAGUAGUCCCUGUCUCUUAUAC
rnacentral:rRNA from 1 species